GUCAGAUCCAGAAGGAGUUUAGUAAGCUGUUCCAGGGGUUCAGGACCACCCCAUCCUGUGUAUGGGAAGUAUUCUUGAAAUUAUUAGGAAAACUGGAUAUGGACAAGACUUGUGAUAUUGAUACAAGGAUAUGUCAGCAAUUUGCAGUCCAGGAGAGAGCUCACCAGAACUUGACCAUGCUGUCGUCCUGAUCUCGGCAUCCAGGCUCCAGAAAUGGAAACAAGGAACUUUAUUGUAAGAUAGGCAACUCAAAAAAUGUCCGAGAAGAAUAGGUGGGAAGAUGAGACUUGGAAGCCUGGGGAGAACCCUUACAGGCAAUGGGAAAGUUUAAAAGGCCCUGGAUGAAAAGCAUGCCUGGAAGAUUCAAGGAAGAACAAGGAGGCCAAUGUGUUUGGAACACAGUGACCAAGAUGGGCGCGCCGCGGAACCAUGAUGGAAGGAUAAACAGGGCCUGUGGAGCACUGUGAGGGCUUCUGACUUGUACUCAACCCCAGUGAAGCAGAAUUCCUUUACAGACGCAGAAGCUGUGGCUGCUCUGUUUGAAAGGAAACACUACAGGUCACUGAGACAGUAAUAGAAGUGGAAGCUUCUGUCAGGACCUCUACCACAACUGCUUAUGAAAGUGCAAUUCCUUGGCCAUGCUUACCAGAAGCAAUUCCAUGUCAUGUCUUUUUUCACUCUGUUCUUUUCCAAACAGAGGUCUCUAAUGGCUGUGUCUGGCUGUCAGAGUUUAGGUCACAAACCUUUAAAAGGGUAGGUGAAAUCUUCUGGCUUCUCCCUGAAGUAGGUAUGACAAUGCAAAAAUUCCCAAACACAGGAAGGGUGUUCAAAGCAUGUAAAAAUUUGUAAAUGUACAAACCAUCUACAAAUGUCCAGUAGAGACUGAAGGAUGUGUGAAGGUUGAGAAAGGAGGAAAAUGUGAAGUUAACCCUGAGUGUUCAAGUCCAAGAAACAAAGGGUUUAGUGGUAACUUUAACAAAAAUGCCAGAGGAAGAGUAAAUUUGUAGGCAAGAAAGUGAAUUUUGUUUAAAACAAGGGAAAUUUAAGUUAGGACACAUCAUGUGGAAUUAUUCACUAAGAAAUGGAAAUGAAUGUGAACAGAGGGAUAAAACUGAGAACUAAGGCUAUUGAUGAUGCUAAAAGUUUUGAGGCCAAAUUCAUGGAUUGCCCAUAGGCAUGAAGCAUUUAUAUAUUCUUUUUUGAUAAGCAGUGAACAUUUAACCAGAAUUGGAAAUGAGUGAUAACUGCAUUUUGUUGUUUACAGGGGAUAGGAGUAGCAAGGUAAGACUGUUUUGAAUAUGGUACAGGAGAAAAGAGAAAUGUUUGAUAUAGACAUAGAAAAAUUGGGAGUAAGAGUGAUAGAGUAUGAUAGAGAAUUUAAACAUGAUAAA